AGACAGAGACAGAGUCUUUGUCUCAAGGCUCCAAAGACUACAUUGCCCUGAUGGUUCUGCCAGGUCUGAUUCCACCUGCAGUCUUCAGAAAGGGCCGAAAGACCGCGAGGACUACAGUGUCUGACGCCAUGAAGGCCUUCAUCGAUCUUAAGCCUGUCGGAGCCAACAUGGUGGAGUACCUUCAGGCAGCAGACCAGAC